rnacentral:rRNA from 1 species
CUCCUACGGGAGGCAGCAGUAAGGAAUAUUGGUCAAUGGAGGCAACUCUGAACCAGCCAUGCCGCGUGCAGGAAGACAGCCCUCUGGGUCGUAAACUGCUUUUAUUCGGGAAUAAACCUACUUACGUGUAAGUAGCUGAAUGUACCGAAGGAAUAAGGAUCGGCUAACUCCGUGCCAGCAGCCGCGGUAAUACGGAGGAUCCAAGCGUUAUCCGGAUUUAUUGGGUUUAAAGGGUGCGUAGGCGGCUUUUUAAGUCAGGGGUGAAAGACGGUAGCUCAACUAUCGCAGUGCCCUUGAUACUGAAGAGCUUGAAUGGACUAGAGGUAGGCGGAAUGUGACAAGUAGCGGUGAAAUGCAUAGAUAUGUCACAGAACACCGAUUGCGAAGGCAGCUUACUAUGGUUUUAUUGACGCUGAGGCACGAAAGCAUGGGUAGCGAACAGGAUUAGAUACCCUGGUAGUCCAUGCCGUAAACGAUGAUUACUGGCUGUAUGUGUUCUAACAUGUGUGGCUGAGUGAAAGCGUUAAGUAAUCCACCUGGGGAGUACGCUGGCAACAGUGAAACUCAAAGGAAUUGACGG